CUGGGUGGAAAGAGAGGCAGCGGCUGAGGCAGGGAGAGGCCAAGAGUGCGCGCUGGCUCCAAGGGCCAGGACACCUUGGCGGCUGCCAGGUAGGUCACUGCGCUGGUUGGGGCGCUGAGCACGGGACCGGCCGGCUUCAGCCACGUCCAGGCCCCGGCUGGCCACCAGGUGAGCGCUCCCGAGCGCUCCCAACGCGUCGCGGGCGGCCGUGCGUCCACCAGGCCAAGUACAGGUCAUGGAGCGGCGCCCGGGGGGCGGCACGGACCCUAGGGGAAGCAAAGGAGGUGGUAAACAAAGCAGCCCUGGCGCCCGAGUGGCGGCGGCGGCGGCGAGCGGCGGGGGCGGCGGCGGGGGAGGGCAGCGGCCCAGCGACCCCAGCUGGGCUCGAGGAGCCGCACCCACACCCACACCCACACCUGUGCUGCGGGGCAGGACAACCCCGGGACUCUGUCUGGGAGGUGUGCUGAGGGGUCUGCCCAGGUCAGACACCUGGGCACUGGGCGGGGGAGGCGGGGUCUGGUGGAUUGUGGGAGGUUAGGCUGGAGCCUCUGGGGAUAGGUGGAGGGGCCAUCCGGGGCUACAU
rnacentral:lncRNA from 1 species